rnacentral:rRNA from 1 species
ACAAGCGGUGGAGCAUGUGGUUUAAUUCGAUGAUACGCGAGGAACCUUACCUGGGCUCAAAUGUAUGUUGACGUAUUCUGAAAGGGAUACUUCUUCGGACAAUAUACAAGGUGCUGCAUGGUUGUCGUCAGCUCGUGCCGUGAGGUGUCGGGUUAAGUCCCAUAACGAGCGCAACCCCUAUCAUUAGUUGCCAUCAGGUCAAGCUGGGGACUCUAAUGAAACUGCCUACGCAAGUAGUGAGGAAGGUGGGGAUGACGUCAAAUCAGCACGGCCCUUACGGCCUGGGCUACACACGUGCUACAAUGGUCGGUACAAAGGGUUGCCAAGCCGCGAGGUGGAGCUAAUCCCAUAAAACCGAUCGUAGUCCGGAUCGCAGUCUGCAACUCGACUGCGUGAAGUCGGAAUCGCUAGUAAUCGUGAAUCAGAAUGUCACGGUGAAUACGUUCCCGGGCCUU